rnacentral:snoRNA from 1 species
ACAGCAUCAAUAAUGUGUAGCUCCUUUUGUUAUUCUUGCACUUUGAUUGCCAGUGGAGAAAGUUAGGGUAAGUUUCAGCCUGAGAUGUUU